GCCCCCAUGGCGUAGUGGUCACUGCACCCGCCUUGCACGCGGGAGACCCGGGUUCGAUUCCCGGCGGGGUCA
rfam:Asian citrus Psyllid, Diaphorina citri - Florida Strain, whole genome shotgun sequence.